rfam:Amazona aestiva scaffold_410, whole genome shotgun sequence.
GGAUUUGAGGGCCAUCUGGCUGCGACGUCUAUCACCCCAUUGAUCGCUAGGGUUGUUUCAGCUGAUCUGUCUGGNUAGGCGCAUGUCUCCUUCUUCCCUUACCACUCCANAUGCAUCCCUCCCUAAGCUGCNCGCUCAGUUAAAGAGGGCAACCUUCCCUAAUACAAGGCAGUACCAUUUAUCAGUCACGGGUAUACAGGAGCCAUGCUCCCCUGUACCUCCAAACAAGUAACUCCAGCAGCUCCUCAAGGACUUCCUCUGGGAAGUCUUGGGCUGCCCUGGACCAUCUCUGCCAGCGGACACAGGAGGCUGCUCCUUUUUAU